rnacentral:misc_RNA from 1 species
GAUGAAGAACGUAGCGAACGUGCGAAACGUAAUGUGAAUUGCAGAAUUCAGUGAAUCAUCGAAUCUUUGAACGCAUCUUGCGCUCCUUGGUAUUCCGAGGAGCAUGCCUGUUUGAGUGUCGUGAAUACUCUCAACUUCAACCCUUUUUUCGGAAAGGGAGGAAGGUUGGACUUGGGUGUUUGUUGAAGUGCGAGCUUCGACUCAUCCUAAAUGCAUUAGCGAUCUGCCUCGAUCACACACAAUGUGAUAAUUAAAACUAAAGCAUUGUUAAUGAUCAAGUCGAGACUGCUUCUAACUGUCGCAAGACAAUAACGUGCAUACAUUUGUGCAUGUCAUUUGACCUCAAAUCAGGUAGGACUACCCGCUGAACUUAAGCAUAUCAAUAAGCGGAGGA